rnacentral:rRNA from 1 species
UACGUAGGGUGCAAGCGUUAUCCGGAAUUAUUGGGCGUAAAGCGCGCGCAGGUGGUUUCUUAAGUCUGAUGUGAAAGCCCACGGCUCAACCGUGGAGGGUCAUUGGAAACUGGGAGACUUGAGUGCAGAAGAGGAAAGUGGAAUUCCAUGUGUAGCGGUGAAAUGCGUAGAGAUAUGGAGGAACACCAGUGGCGAAGGCGACUUUCUGGUCUGUAACUGACACUGAGGCGCGAAAGCGUGGGGAGCAAACAGG